rnacentral:rRNA from 1 species
UGCGUAGGUGGUUGUUUAAGUCUGCUGUGAAAGCCCCGGGCUCAACCUGGGAAUGGCAGUGGAUACUGGACAGCUAGAGUGCGGUAGAGGGUAGUGGAAUUCCCGGUGUAGCAGUGAAAUGCGUAGAGAUCGGGAGGAACACCAGUGGCGAAGGCGGCUACCUGGACCAGCACUGACACUGAAGCACGAAAGCGUGGGGAGCAAACAGGAUUAGAUACCCUGGUAGUCCACGCCCUAAACGAUGCGAACUGGACGUUGGGAGCAACUUGGCUCUCAGUGUCGAAGCUAACGCGUUAAGUUCGCCGCCUGGGGAGUACGGUCGCAAGACUGAA